UUUGCUUCUCAGCCUUUUGUGCUGAGAUCAAGUGUAGCAUCUAUUAUAAAUUUAACAUCUGAUAUGUCCCCUAGCUGGGGACCAUAUGUUAAUUGGAUUUUUGAGCACAUGGGCUGAUUGUGAAGCUUGCUUCAGUCGCCCCAUGCUUUUACCCGAUAUGGAAGUAUCUUCAGGUACAAAAAAAUUAAA